CUUAGAUUUUUGAUGAUCUGUCAGUGAAUCAGUGAGUCAGUGAGUGACAAAAUGGUGUAACUUUGAUCGAUCGUAACUCCUAAACUAUUAAUUCAAUUGGCAUGUUAUUUCGAACUUAAGCUUGUUCUAAUGCCUACUAUUAUUCACCGAAAACCUAAACUCCUAGCUUUGUCCACGUCGAAGAUAUAGGGGGGGCGAAUGAGCCGCGAAUCGCUUCGAGAAAAGAUGGUACGGCCGUGCCCGUUUUGCUCGAGACUUGGCUGGGGCACUGCCGUGCGCCCAGAUAGUUGAAUCCAGCCAGGAAGAUAACCUGAGAGUCCAGCUGUAAUAGCUGCCUAUGUACCACCACCAUUGACACAAGAAUGUCUGACUUUCACACCUUCCUCUCGACAUACACACUCAACAAGGAGACGAUCUGCCAGCACAGGUGUAAGAAGCAGAUUGUAUCAGUAUGAAGAGGAGCGUGCACAGAGAGAGACGGUGAAAAACGCAGAGCUUGCAGGCAUCAGUGCUACCCUGUUGCAGCUGCAUAACACAAUAAAGGAAUAUGUGGAUAGGAAUUAAGAUUCUGUUAGUGUUUUGUUAGUAAUUAAUUGUGUUUAGUAUUUCUUUGUUAUUAAUUUGUUAUGUUUAAACAGGGUAAUAGUAAAUAAAACUUUAAGUA